rnacentral:rRNA from 1 species
GAUGAACGCUAGCUACAGGCUUAACACAUGCAAGUCGAGGGGAAACGAUAUUGGAAGCUUGCUUCCGAUAGGCGUCGACCGGCGCACGGGUGAGUAACGCGUAUCCAACCUGCCCGUCACUUGGGAAUAACCUUGCGAAAGUAAGACUAAUGCCCAAUGACAUUUAUAGAAGGCAUCUGAAAUGAAUUAAAGAUUUAUCGGUGAUGGAUGGGGAUGCGUCUGAUUAGCUUGUUGGCGGGGUAACGGCCCACCAAGGCGACGAUCAGUAGGGUUCUGAGAGGAAGGUCCCCCACAUUGGAACUGAGACACGGUCCAAACUCCUACGGGAGGCAGCAGUGAGGAAUAUUGGGUCAAUGGGCGAGAGCCUGACCAGCCAAGUAGCGUGCAGGAAGACGGCCCUAUGGGUUGUAAACUGCUUUUAUAGGGGAAUAAAGUGAGCACGUGNGGUUUUUUGCAUGUACCCUAUGAAUAAGGACCGGCUAAUUACCGUGCCAGCAGCGCGGUAAA